UACGGAGGGAGCUAGCGUUAUUCGGAAUUAUUGGGCGUAAAGAGCUCGUAGGCGGUUUGUCGCGUCUGCCGUGAAAGUCCGGGGCUCAACUCCGGAUCUGCGGUGGGUACGGGCAGACUAGAGUGAUGUAGGGGAGACUGGAAUUCCUGGUGUAGCGGUGAAAUGCGCAGAUAUCAGGAGGAACACCGAUGGCGAAGGCAGGUCUCUGGGCAUUAACUGACGCUGAGGAGCGAAAGCAUGGGGAGCGAACAGG
rnacentral:rRNA from 1 species